UCCCGGGUAGCUCAAUGGCAGAGCAGUUGGCUGUUAACCAAUUGGUUGUCGGUUCGAGUCCGACCCCGGGAG
rnacentral:tRNA from 1 species